ACUCCCAAAGCUAGGAUUCUCUAUUAAACUACUUUCUGUAA
rnacentral:tRNA from 1 species